AUUGUGGCUACUUUGUGCAAUGGGAGAAGCCUGAGCUAUCCUUGCUGCGUGACUGUUGAAGUCUUUAGGCCUGUAUGCUUUUUUCGCCCGUGACGAUGCUGACGGUAACGGGAGAUGAUGCCCCGGCUUAAUUUCGUGCCAGCAGCCGCGGUAAUACGAAGGGGGCUUAGCGUUCCUCGGAUUUAUUGGGCCGUAAAGCGCGCUUAGGCGGCUUCUGCAAGCCCAGAGGUUGAAAAUGCCUUGAGCUUUAACUUUGGGAAACUGCCUCUCUGGGAAUUGCGAGGCUUUCGAGGGAUCUGGGAGAGGUUGAUUUGGAUACCUCCCCAGUUUUAGAGUUUUUAAAACUUGUUAGACUACUUUGGGGAAUGAACCACCCGGUUGGCGAAGGGCGGCUUCACUUGGCCCAGUCUCUUCUGACCGCUUCUAAGCCCCCGAAAUGCUGUUGGGGGGAAUCAAAUACAGGGUCACUAGGUAUCCCCUCUGGUUAGUUCCCAACGCUCUUCUAAAAACAUAUGAACUGUCUAGUCCUCUCGGCCCCCGUCUCUGCCUCUGUUCGUUUCUCGCCAACUCUAAACGCCUGUUGAAGCAAACCCCCUGCCUUCGGGGGGAGACUAACGGUCUCGCCAUGACACACAAAAACCACCUCAAAGAA
rnacentral:rRNA from 1 species